AUUGAACGCUGGCGGCAGGCCUAACACAUGCAAGUCGAGCGGAGCGGCGGACGGGUGAGUAAUGCCUAGGAAUCUGCCUGGUAGUGGGGGAUAACGUCCGGAAACGGGCGCUAAUACCGCAUACUAUCAGAUGAGCCUAGGUCGGAUUAGCUAGUUGGUGGGGUAAAGGCCUACCAAGGCGACGAUCCGUAACUGGUCUGAGAGGAUGACCAGCCACACUGGAACUGAGACACGGUCCAGACUCCUACGGGAGGCAGCAGUGGGGAAUAUUGCACAAUGGGCGCAAGCCUGAUGCAGCCAUGCCGCGUGUGUGAAGAAGGCCUUCGGGUUGUAAAGCACUUUCAGCGAGGAGGCGUUACUCGCAGAAGAAGCACCGGCUAACUCCGUGCCAGCAGCCGCGGUAAUAC
rnacentral:rRNA from 1 species